rnacentral:lncRNA from 1 species
CUCCUCUGAAACUAAGGAAGACAUCAUAUUUAAUUCCUUGUGGCUGGGCGGUGGUUAAGGUGGAAGGAGUAGAUGGUGAUGGAGACAUCAUAUUGUUUUGUGGAGAAACAGUCGAAGAAACAAGAGUAGAUGGCGAUGGAGAAACAUGGCGGCUUCGUAUGAUCAAUCUCCAGAUAUAAACAAACAAAAAGAUAUUGAGAAACAAUAAAAAUACCACCAUUGUUUUGUGGAGAAACAAGAGUAGGACUCUGGUGGUAAGGUAGGUCUGGAGGGAGAGAGCGGAAGUAACUCAAGGAAAAAAGAUGAGGCUGAUUUUGAAUCAGUAGCUUAGGCUUUACGUGUUUAAGACCCUGCCUUAGGCAUAUGUAUCAUUUAUAGGCAUCAAAUCCAAGAAUUUUCUUAGAACAUUACAAGAUUGCACAUUGUUGAUUUCCUAGAAAUUCCCCAGUUACAAAGUGAUGUGAUAGGAAAAGGCAUUUAUACUUUGUUUUGUUUUUAUGGUAUUCACAGUAUUUUUAUAAAUUUUGAUUUUUUUUAAUUAAUUUUUUUAGUUUUUAUUUUAUUUUAAUUUACUGAUAUAAAAAUAAUUUUUAAAAAUCAAAAGCAUAUAUAUUCUUGUUCAUCAUAUCACAGCUGUGAUAGAUGCCUUUUUUAAUAUUUCAAAUGUAUUAGCUAUUCACUUCGCGGAGUAGCAGAUCUUUUGUUAUUUUUUCUUCAACUUUUUUAUUUUAUAUUUUCUUUAAACAGUAAACACUUCUGUCCCACAUCAUUCUUUAAGGACAUUAACUAGUAUAUCGGCAUACAAUUCACAACAGGGUUAAUAUUAAUUUUUUAAAAAUUAGAAAAUAUUACAAGUGUUUAGCAAUAUCUAAAUGUUCCUGGAAAUUAUUUCUUGUAUUUGUUUUCUAAGGAACGGUUGCUUUGAUAUAUUUUUUUCAAAAUAAAAAUAACAUUUUGAUGUAUUUUUUCAAAAAUAUAUUUUAAAAAACAACUGUUACUGCACUCCUAAACACCCUCCUAAAAAAAAGUAUGUGAAAAAAAAACAUUAUAGCAAUUCACAAUAAUUUACGAAGAAAAUUAUAGUGCUUCCCCACAUGAUUUAGCCAUAUUUAUAAUUACUUGUAAUUGUAAUUAUCAAACAACUUAAUAUUAAAAAAAUAAAAUUGACAAAGAUAAUAUUAAAAAAAUUAUAAGAAAGAAAAACCAUGUGGAGAGACAUUGUAACAAUCCACGAUAUUUUGUGAGGAAAGAUACAGUGAUUUCCCACAUGAUUAAGGUUUAUUACAAAGUUAAAUUAUAACCAACUUAAUAUGAAGAAAAAAAAAUUAACGAAGAUAAUUUUGGAAAAAAAAUAUUACAAAAAAAAAAAGAAAACACAAAAGAAAUUGGAAAAAAAAAUAUGAGGAAAAACUGUAUCAAUCUAUAGUGUUUUGUGAGGAAAAACUUGUAUUUACUUGUAAUUGCAAGUCUUAACCAGCUUAAUAUUUAAAAAAUAAAAUUAACAAAGAUAAUUUUAGGGAAAAAAUAACAAAACGGAAAAAAACUAUAUGAAAUAAAACAUUGUAGCAAUCCAUAGUAAUUUGCGAAGAAAGUUAUAGUGUUUUCCUCCCAUAUUGUAACUGUAAUUUUUAACCAGCUCAAUAUUAAAAAAUAAAAUAAAAUAAAAAAAGAUAAUUUCAGAGAAAAUAAAAAAAAACAUAUGGAGAAACACUAGCAAUUAAUAAUGUUUUAAAGAAAAAAAUUACAAAACUAAAUUUUUAAUCAGCUUAAUAUUAAAAAAAUAAAAAUAUAUAAUUUUAAAAAACAAAAUAAAAAACUAUGUAAAAAAACACCACAUCAAUUCAAAAUAUUUUAAAAAAUGAAAUUUAAAGUGAAAUUUUUAAUCAGUUAAAUAUUAAAAAAAUAGAAUUAAUUCAAAAUUACACACAAUCUAUUCAAAUAAACCGGUAGAUGCCUUUUCCUUUUUCCUUUUAUAUAUAUUUAUUUAUUGUGAAGAAGAAGAAGAAAAAGAAGUCGUCUUGAAGGAGAGACGAAGGGACUGGGGAUCGAUGGGGCCAAUCCUCUGGGACGACGACUUGACCUUAAGUACUCUUCCUGGUGAGUGCUAGGGCAGCGUGUUCGGGAAGCUGAGUUUGGAAAUUACGUGUUUGUUUUUACAUGCUUCUUUCCAGCUCAUUACACACAAUCUAUCCAAAUAAAUCGGCAGAUGCCUUUUUCUUUUUCCUUUUAAAGGGAUCAUCGGCCGUCGGUGUUGUUGGAACAUAAACAAUCGAACAUUGGAAGAAAUAAAUAAUUUCCCCAUGCUUAAAUUAAGGCUACUAUUCUUUUGAACUCCGGCCAAACAUGACAGGGCUUUAGUAAAAUGCCUUUUUUCUUCUUCUUCCUCUGUCUUUUGCAGAAAAGAUUGAGAAGUUUAUACACACACCUAUAUACACCUAUAUACGUAUAUAGGUGUGUGUGUAAAUAUAUAUAAGGAAAAAGGAAAAAGGUAUAUAUUGGUGUGUGUGUGUGUAUAAAAGGAAAAAGGAAAAGGCACAUGGCAACUUUAUUAUAAUUAAUGGAUCGAGUAAAAUGUACAAGUUUCUUCGUAUAAUUUUAUUUUUUUCAAAUAGAAUAUUAAUUCGGAACUAAAAACAAUUAAAAAUUUCCAAAAUAUCCAUUUUAAACUGGGAUGAACCCCAGAAAAUAUUCGACUUUUAUCCAUAGUUUUAAAACCCGACCUGGUGGUCGACCCGGUCUUAUGACCGGGUCACGGGUCAGAUGGGUUGACCCGGGCUGACCCGGGUCAACCCAAAAAAAUCUAAUAAAAACUUCAAUAAAUACAAUUCCCCUCUUAUCCCUCUUUCUCAUCAAUCCACUUUUCAACUUUCAAAUUGCUUUCCAGCUUUCAAUCCACUUUCCAGCUUUUCAAUCGCAAAUAAACGUUCUUUUUUAAUCACCAGCAAAUAGGCAUUCUCUUUAAAUUGAGAAUUGAGAACACAUGGGCAUCAGAACAGAAAACAACAACAAUCAUGCAUCAACGACAACGCUGAUAUUCACGCACAAAACUUUGAAGAGGGGCUUUUCAAAUCAUGUCUUGAUGCAGGAUCUGAUCAAAAUCGGGUAUGCUGUCUUCAAUGGAAUCUACAUGAACGAGCAGGGAUCACUAAAAAGAGGAUGUCGUGUUUGGGGUGGAGGUGUAUUACGGGCAGUCGGGCAUAGGAGCUAUGCGAUUGAAAUUGCUUUUUCUUGUUAUCUUUAUCUGCAAUUUUGCAUCCUUCAUCCUUUAUCUGCAUAGUUUUGACUUUAAAUGGCCAAAACGAACGACGUCGUUUCGGACUCUGUAUGUAUAAAAAAACAAAGAGGCCGGGUCUCAGUCGGGUUUGUCCGGGUCGCCGGGUUCCGGGGGUCGACCGGGUUUCACCGGGCCAAUUCCUCGGCGGGUUUUUACUUAGACCCGGACCGGUCCUAGGCCCGGGUCGGCCGGGUCCCGGGUCGACCCGCCGGGCCGGUCCGGGUUUCAAAACUAUGCUUUUAUCCCCCCCUGCUGUCUAAUGUAAAAGACGGGUGUUUUUUUUCACUUGUCACGCUCCCCUGCAUCACCGGCUCAUGGAGGUAAAAAUCUUACGUCACAGCGACAUCAUCUUGUCCCCUGCAUUUUGUCCUCAGCUGGAAGACACGUGCAAAAAAGAGAGAGGUGAUCUAAAGUCAUUGUUGCGGACAAGCAGCAACCAGGAAGCAAUCCACUUGCCCCGGUGUCGUUUCACAAACAGUCAGUCAAAUUCACAGUCAAGGCAGAUGAUAAGGCUUUUGUAAAAUUUUGAGGUGGAUGGCAAUGAUGAUGUCUCAGACUUCAGAAAAUACAACAUUAAAAGAAGCAAAAACCUUAUCAUGAAAUUCGUUUUCCGGCCCUGAAUAAUAAUCAACAGUCAUGGCAUUGUUGAUCAUCGAAAGCCACCGUUAAGAUAAGAAAUGCGUAAUUUCAAGGAAAUAGAUUGCAGUCAAUCCAAGAGGUGGCAAGAAAAAGAGACCCAUCCAGUCAAAUUUUGCUUCCUUCCAGCUCCUUCCUGAAUAAUAAUAUAUUUUUUAAUAUUUAUAUGUAUUAAUGUUAAAAAUAAUUUUAAAAAAAUAAAAAAUAUUAUAUUUUUUUUAAUAAGAAAAACAAGAACUCCCUAUUACACUUACAGAAGAAACAUUCCAUGUAUUCAAUCCAAGUGUUUGCGCGUGUCGAGGACUUUUUUUGCCUCUCAAUAAUUAGUGUUAUUUGUAUUAUAACUUUUUUAAUAUUUCAAAUGGAUGAGCUUUUCCCUUGACUUGGCGUAUUAGCAGCUUUAGGAUCUUUUGUUAUUUUCUCUUCCUUUUUUAUUAUAUAUUUUCUUCACACAGUAUAUCGGCCUGCGAUUCACAUAUUCAGUUAAUAUUAAUCUUUUUAAAAUUAAAAUAGCAGAAGAACUUAUUAGAAAAUCUGUUUAAUAUUGUGGUAAUUAUUUUUUAAAAAAUAUUUUUUAAAAAAAAAAUACAUUAUAUUAAAAUAAUAUAUUUUUAUUUUUAAAAUUUUAUUUUUGACAUUAACACAUCAAAAUAAUAUAAAAAUAAAAAAUAAUAAUUUAAAAUAAAAAAAAUAAAAAAACUCAAAUCCAAAUAUUUUCUUACUACAUUACAGAUGGUUCACAUUUUCCUAGAAAUUUUCAUUAACCACAAAAAGCUUCAUGUCUUGUUAUUAUUAUUAUUAUUUUGUAAUUUGGUAGGGAAGGGCUUCAAGCCUUCCAUCCAAGUGUUUGCGCGUAAACUUUGUUGAGUUUCACAUUAUAUUAUAAUGGUAAAAAAAAACAAUUAUAUAUGAGUGUCCUCUCCCCUGAAACUAAGGUAGACAUCAUAAUUAAUUCCCUGUGGCUGGGCGGUGGUUAUGGUGGAAGGAGUAGAUGGGGAUGGAGAAAUAUGACGGAUUCGUAUGAUGAAUCUCCAGAUAUAAGCAAACAAAAAGAUAGAGAGAAACAAGAAAAACAUCGCCAUUGUUUUGUGGAGAAACAGUCGAAGAAACAAGAGUAAUUAGACUCUGGUGGUAAGGUAGGUCUGGAGGGAGAGAACGGAAGGAACUCAAGGAAAAAAGAUGAGGCUGAUUUUGAAUGAGUAGCUUAGGCUUUACGUGUUUAAGAACCUGCCUUAGGCAUAUGUAUAAUUUAUAAUAAUCAAAUCCAAGAAUUUUCUUAGAACAUUACAAGAUUGCACAUUGUUGAUUUCCU